AGAAGAGAUAACUGGAGCCAAAGCAAGUAAACCUGACAUGAUAAAAUCUGGAAGCUGUAUAGCAAAGGAGCAGAUUCCUGCCUUUCAACGUUCCAUCCAGACAACUAAAGGAAGAUUUUCAUUCCACUCACCAGCUGGUUUAUAAAAGGAAGAGAUCGAGGGAAUCCCUUGUGAUGCAGGAUAUUGAUACUCCUCUGCGAGGAUGAAUAGUGCUUCCAUGUUACCACACCACCUCAAAGGAGAAGCAGGGAUGGCGUGACCAUACUUCGUCCCCUGAGGCCUGACUUGAUUGUCAGCAGCUAAAGGCUACAUUGAAUUAACCCUCUGCUUACUCCAGAUUAGAAAAGCUGUGGGCUACCAGCUGUACUACUUCAAAGCUGGGCCUGAGCCCAGGACAUGGAACCCCCAGGAGCUGCUGGGUGCUCUGCAGAACUUGGUUCAUCUGUGUGACUGGGGACUCCAUCCCAUUUGCCAUGGAUGGCCAACCCUGACUUUCAUCUCCUCCUUGUUGUGGUCUCCAGAACUGCCUCACCUGUUCUGUGCUACCACUAAACUGGGUGGAAGGCAAGUAACGUUUUCUCUGCUACAAGGUCAGCUUUUCCCCAGUUCUUUGUUUUCCAGUUUAUGUGGGCAGGUGUUUCUUUGAGCCUCCAGUACUACAAAGAGUAACAGCACUUUCUGCUGGUUCUAGAACGUGUGCUUACAACGUAGACUGCUGAUAAAUCUUUGGGGAAAUUCUGGCUACAAAUGAAGUACGUCCUGGUUUGCUGUAGGCUAUAGUUUAUUGGGUGUGAAUUUAAGUA